GGGGUGAGGACAGUGUCUGGUGGGUAGUUUGACUGGGGCGGUCUCCUCCCAAAGAGUAACGGAGGAGCACGAAGGUUAGCUAAUCACGGUCGGACAUCGUGAGGUUAGUGCAAAGGCAUAAGCUAGCUUGACUGCGAGAGUGACGGCUCGAGCAGGUACGAAAGUAGGUCUUAGUGAUCCGGUGGUUCUGAAUGGAAGGGCCAUCGCUCAACGGAUAAAAGGUACUCCGGGGAUAACAGGCUGAUACCGCCCAAGAGUUCAUAUCGACGGCGGUGUUUGGCACCUCGAUGUCGGCUCAUCACAUCCUGGGGCUGAAGUAGGUCCCAAGGGUAUGGCUGUUCGCCAUUUAAAGUGGUACGCGAGCUGGGUUUAGAACGUCGUGAGACAGUUCGGUCCCUAUCUGCCGUGGGCGUUGGAAGAUUGAGAGGGGUUGCUCCUAGUACGAGAGGACCGGAGUGAACGCACCACUGGUGUUCGGGUUGUCAUGCCAAUGGCAUUGCCCGGUAGCUAAGUGCGGAAAAGAUAAGCGCUGAAAGCAUCUAAGCGCGAAACUUGCCUCAAGAUGAGUCUUCCCUGGGACUUUGAGUCCCCUGAAGGAACGUUUAAGACUAAGACGUUGAUAGGCUGGGUGUGUAAGUGCAGCGAUGCAUUGAGCUAACCAGUACUAAUGAUCCGUGAGGCUUAACCUU
rnacentral:rRNA from 1 species